rnacentral:rRNA from 1 species
AUUGAACGCUGGCGGCAGGCCUAACACAUGCAAGUCGAACGAGUGGCGGACGGGUGAGUAAUGUCUGGGAAACUGCCUGAUGGAGGGGGAACACCACUGGAAACGGUCGCUAAUAGCGCAUACCAUCAGAUGUGCCCAGAGGGGAUUGGCUAGUUGGUGGGGUAACGGCGCACCAAGGCGAAGCUCCCUAGCUGGUCUGAGAGGAUGACCAGCCACACUGGAACUGAGACACGGUCCAGACUCCUACGGGAGGCAGCAGUGGGGAAUAUUGCACAAUGGGCGCAAGCCUGAUGCAGCCAUGCCGCGUGUGUGAAGAAGGCCUUCGGGUUGUAAAGUACUUUCAGCGGGGAGGCGUUACCCGCAGAAGAAGCACCGGCUAACUCCGUGCCAGCAGCCGCGGUAAUUC